CCCGCACAAGCGGUGGAGCAUGUGGUUUAAUUCGAUGCAACGCGAAGAACCUUACCAGGUCUUGACAUCCCGAUGCUAUUCUAGAGAUAGAAAGUUACUUCGGUACAUCGGUGACAGGUGGUGCAUGGUUGUCGUCAGCUCGUGUCGUGAGAUGUUGGGUUAAGUCCCGCAACGAGCGCAACCCCUAUUGUUAGUUGCCAUCAUUCAGUUGGGCACUCUAGCGAGACUGCCGGUAAUAAACCGGAGGAAGGUGGGGAUGACGUCAAAUCAUCAUGCCCCUUAUGACCUGGGCUACACACGUGCUACAAUGGUUGGUACAACGAGUUGCGAGUCGGUGACGGCGAGCUAAUCUCUUAAAGCCAAUCUCAGUUCGGAUUGUAGGCUGCAACUCGCCUACAUGAAGUCGGAAUCGCUAGUAAUCGCGGAUCAGCACGCCGCGGUGAAUACGUUCCCGGGCCUU
rnacentral:rRNA from 1 species